AACGUCUCAGUUCGGAUUGUAGUCUGCAACUCGACUACAUGAAGCUGGAAUCGCUAGUAAUCGCGGAUCAGGAUGCCGCGGUGAAUACGUUCCCGGGUCUUGUACACACCGCCCGUCACACCAUGGGAGUCAGUAACGCCCGAAGCCGGUGACCCAACCUAUCUGGAGGGAGCCGUCGAAGGCGGGACGGAUGACUGGGGUGAAGUCGUAACAAGGUAGC
rnacentral:rRNA from 1 species